rnacentral:misc_RNA from 1 species
GUGUCUGAGAGCGCAGCUCCCGCCGAAUCACUGCAGAAGUUCUGCCUACCUCUCGGAGCAUCUACCGGCAACUACACUGUCUCAGGGCACGCGAGCGAGAACGAGGAAGAGGCCAAAGAAUACAGGAAGAGCUGAGGCUCGGUAGACCUGCUCGAGCCGCGUCAGUCUUUGUCCUCUUUCGCCUUUUCGCGUUCGCAGCUCCUUCUAUUCCUGGCAGACACCUCAGGUGUAGUGCUGCGCCUCACCGCCUCCUCUUUUGUUUGCCUUUUUUUUUCUUUGAGGGAGAAGCAAGGAGAGCUGUGUGUGGGCGUCGUUGUCAGCUUUUUCUUGUCGUUCUCUGUUUGUGCAUCAUUGCACAUUUUCUCCAGAGAGGGGCACGCAGACGCGUCGCCUUACACAGCAAGACCACCCUCCUACCACAUACUUGCCACGAAGACGGGAAGCUGCACGCGCCAUCCCCUCGAAUUCAACUCUAUAAGUCUGUUGUGGACUUACGCUUGUGCUCGUGUGCGUCGGCGCAUUCACGCGUCUUUUUUUUUUGCUAGUGUGUGUGUGUGUGUUUGUGUUUUGGUUUCUUUCUUUCCACUUGGAAACGUCAGGUUUCACCUGCACCCAAUCAUGUCUAUAUCCUACGAAGAGCUGCUCGCCCUUCGACGCGCGCAAGUGGCACAAAAGCAGCAGCAGCAGCAGGCCCCUGGAGCGGCUGUUUUGUCAGCUACUUCCACGACUUCAGGGGCCGGGGAAGUCACAACAGCGGCGCCUGCAACCUCGCAUCUUCAUAGGCCGCCGCACGCGUCUGGAAAUAUCACAUCGUCCGCGACGCAGGCAGCUGCGUUCAGUCCCUUUUUGCGAAGGUCAGAUAAAAAGGCCGCCGAGUACGCAUCGGUCACCGUGGCGAUCGAGCUGGAGCCGAAGGUCAUGGCGACCAACCUGUCUGUGCGAGGCGAGGUGUCGCGGGCAGAGCUUCUCCAGCGCAAGCGUCAGCGCAUCGAUACGGGCCCUACGCUGUCAGAGCUGCUGAUCGCGCGUGGCAUGCACGCUGCCGCGGCAAGCGAUCUGGUGGGAAACCCAGAGGACGGUAGCGCCGGAAUCGCUCCUUGCGCGGCAGCCGGGGACUACGCUACGUGGCUACCCGUGGAGGCCUUUGAUGACGCUUUUCGCUUCGAGGAGCUGUCCCCGGAGGACUGGGCGGCGCGUGUAGCCGCUGCUCCGUCGGGCUUGCCUUGUGUCUUCUGGAAACUGGACCAUCGGCAGCACCACAAGGGAGGCAUCUGGACCUCCGGGCGUGUCGUGGAGGUCGACGUGGACAAGCAGCUGUACUACGUUUUGCCAGACGACGGCAGAGACCUUCGCAGCUCCCAGAAGCAGAAGGCGGACACGUGCGGCAGCGCAGAAGACACGAGGCCGCUUGCGCUGCCACGCGUUUUCGUGUGCUUUGCCGCCGAAGAUCCAGAGAACUUCGCAAACCGCUUCGCUGCUGCCCACAAGCGCCGCACCAUCGCCGAGGCCGCGCUGCGCACUGAGUUGUACGUUGACUUCAUCCCCCUCGACGAGUACGCCGCACUUGACCCCCUUGUUAUCCGGCGCGUGCUCGAUGCUGCUGUCAGUACACCCGCCCUUGUAGAGUGUGAGUCGAAUCUAAACGUGGCCGGCGUACUGGAGGAGGUGCGCGCCGGGUACAGCCGCGUCAUGAACGCCGAUCUCUUCCACUCCAUAACGCAGGGCGGCGGCCUCUCGCAACUAACGGGCCCCUCUGCAACGUCGUCGACGAUGCUGUCGGCGUCGCCAUUGUUCAUGAGCGGCACCGCGCGUCCAGUCCCGCUCUACGGCGUCUCUUCUCACCAGGCCGAGCGCUUCACCGCCACAGUUGCGGCCUUCCGCCAGCAGUGCUUCUGGAACACCUCCCCGGCGCUUGCGGCCCUCACGCGGGCCGUGUGCCGAGCCGACGACGCCUUGCUCUCUCGGUGUGUAUUUGUGCUCUACUCCACGACGAAAAUGAAGCGGCCGCUGAGCCUCAUGGAGCUGGAGGAGAUCGAGACGACGGCCACUCGGGACUCUUUCUUGCACGCCAGGGAUCAGUGGCUGACGCCGACUGCGGACAUGGUGAAACGCACACUCAGCACCUUCUCCUCCACGGACCCGGUCCACUUGCACCACUACGACGUGAACACCUACGCGGGCUGUAGUACCGAGCGAUACCUGCGGCAGAUUCAGCUGCAUAUGCAGGACACCCUCCAGCAUUACUUGAUUAGUUCGCUGGAGGCGCUCAUCCGUUUUGUCGAGCACGCCGGCGACAACCACGUCACAGUUCAUGGAAUGGCCCAGGUCGAGGUGACGCGCGGAGCUCACCCCGCUCCGCGGACCCCGUUCGGGGCCGACGAGCGCAUUACUGCAGGCUUUCUGUUGCCCCCACCUCACCCGCUGCCGCCGUUGCUCUCUGUCGUGCUCCUGUGCACGAAGCGCGUCAGCGACGCCGGCGCGAAAGCUGCACAGGAAGCGUUGGAAACUCCGGCCACCGAGACGCAAGCUCCGAAGCCAGUCGCGGGCGACCUACCGGAGGAGGACGAGGGCAGUGCAAAGACAGAGAAGCCGUCUGCUGCGUGCCUGAGUUACAGCUGCUCCGUUGAGUCGAUACGGGUAUCACUGCAGGGGCUCCUGAAGCGGUGCCUGACGCAGCACAGCACUCUUCGCACGGUCGAGCGCGUCCUCUUCGACUUUCUCUACGAUCCGGCCACGGCGUUUCUCAAUGUACCGGCUGCGUCCAGCAUGCUGAUGGAGUCGUGGGUGCAGCGGAUAAACGUGGUUCUCGACCGCGUCGCUGUUGCCAUGAAGUCGUACAGGGAGACCUACACCCCUUUUACGGCGGUGAUCGAGCUCGACUUGAACGCCUACAUGGCCACCUUCGACGAGCGCUUCCCUAGCACGCGCGGCGUGGAGGCGGAGGUGCAGCGCUUCCUCACACUGCAGCAGCAGGUGCUGGAUGGCAUUCCUGUCUCAGCAGACUUGGGCCUCGUGCGCGUGGAUUGCAGCGAGCUGCGCCGUGAAUUGUCGAAAAAGUGCGCCAUGGGUGCGGCCAAGGUGCUGGACGUCAUGGCCGCUCGCGCUCUUCGCAAGGAGAUCGAGGUGACCGAUCGCUAUAGCGAGCUGUACGCGACGCUGCUGAAGCCGACAGAGACACCAGAGGAGGUGGUCGCAACGAAGGACUUCAUCAAGACGAUUCCGGAACGUGUUGUCGACUUGGAGACGGCCAUAGAAGAGUCCAAGGAGAUCCACGAGCUGCUCAAGGGCUUCAAGCGCCCCCUCUCCGAGGAGGAGUUCAACAAAAAGUGGAAGGCGAUCGGGUGGCCCAGUCAGCUGGACAACGCCGUCAACGAACGUGUUGAGGAGCUGGAAGAGACGAAGCGGCGCCUGCUGGCCUCCAUGAACCGAGCGCAGGAUCUGUUUGAACAGGAGGUUGAACGGAUUCAGAAGAUCGUCGAGCAUUACGGUCAGCACCGCAACGCCCACCGCAUGACUGAAAUCGCCGAGGAUGUAAUGCGAGUGCAGGAGAAGAUCCGUCAACUGCGUAGCCAAGCCAGCACCUUCAACACCCACGAAUCACUCUUCAACAUGGAAAAGACAGACUACUCGGCGGUGCACCAGCUCGCCACGGACUUCGAGCCGUACGAGGCGCUCUGGAUCACCUCGGCGAGCUGGUCCGCCUCACUCAAGAAGUGGCACGAGCUGCCUUUUAUGAGCAUCGAUGCGGACGAGGUGGAGAGGGUCGUGGCAGACACUCUUCGCAUCAUGAACACGUGCGUUCGCAACCCACAGUUGAGGCCGGAGUUGGUGCAGGUGGCGGAGCACACCCGCGAGAAUGUGCAGCAGUUUCGUCCCCUUGUGCCAACGAUCAAGUACCUGCGCAUGGAAGGCAUGCAUGAGCGUCACUGGAGCCAGCUCUCAAAGGAGCUUGGCCAGGCCAUCGAGCCGGCCGUCACGUUGCAGAGUCUCGACGACGUGGUUCGCAUGAACUUGACGCAGCAAAACGAUGUGCUCAUGCGCAUUUCCGAAAUCGCGUCACGCGAGUUCCACAUCGAGACGUCUCUCGCGAAGAUGAAGGCGGGGUGGGCCGAUAUGCGGAUGAGCGUCACGGCGUACAAGGAGACCGGGUGCUUAGUGAUAUCAAAGGAUGUGGUGGACCAGACGCAGGAGAAGCUGGACGAUCAGAUGCUGCUGACGCAGAGCCUUUCCUUCUCUCCCUUCAAGCAGCUGUUCGAGGACGAGAUCGCCAACUGGGAGACCUCUCUGAAACUCGUGCAGGACGUGCUGGAUGCGUGGCUGCGGUGCCAAAAGUCGUGGCUCUACCUCGAGCCCAUCUUCCAGUCGGAGGACAUUUCGCGCCAGCUGCCAGGAGAGUACAAGCGCUUCCAGGUGGUGAACAAGAAUUGGAAGUUUCUGACAAACAAGGCGCAGGAGGUGGAUCUGACGCUCGAGUUCUGCACGACGACGGAGCGCUGUCUCGAGCUGCUCAAAGAGAACAACGACACGCUGGAGGUGGUGGAGCGGGGCUUGAACCAGUACCUCGAGAACAAGCGCGCCUCCUUCGCCCGCUUUUACUUCUUGUCUGACGACGAGCUGCUGGCGAUCUUGUCGGAGGCCCGCGACCCGCAAAGGAUUCAGCCGCAGUUCCGCAAACUCUUUGAGAACAUUGCCCGCAUCGACAUGCGCAACGCCGACAACGAGAUGUUUGGCAUGUACUCGCAGAUGGAGGAGUACAUCCCAUUUGCGCAGUCCGUGCUGCCGCGCAAGUACGUCGAGAACUGGCUGACGGAGAUUGAGCACAUGAUGAAGAUUUCGAUCCGGCUGCAGCUGGAGGCGGGUGUGAAAAACGCGGCCACCAUGAAGAGGCAGGCUUUCGUGCUGCAGUCGCCAGGACAGGUGGCGAUCGCCGUGAACCAGAUCAUGUGGACGCACGAGUGCGAGAUGUCGCUGAAAGAGCAGGGCUCGCUCGCCCCCUACAUGGCGACGGCGCAGCGGAACUUGAUGGUGCUGGUGGAGACGGUGCGGCUGCCGUUGACAAACCUGCAGCGGAUGAACCUGAGCGGCCUCAUCACGAUUGAGGUGCACGCCAGGGACAUCGUCGAGCAACUCGCCAAGGCCGGUGUAGACAGCAUCUACGCCUUCGAGUGGGUUUCGCAGCUGCGCAGCUACUGGGAGAACAGCGACUGCGUUCUACGCCAGGUCGAGGCGCAGUUUCGCUACGGCGGCGAAUACCUGGGAAACACGACGCGUCUUGUCAUCACGCCACUGACCGAUCGCAUCUACCUGACCUUGACGGGGGCGAUGCACAUGUUCCUCGGGGGCGCCCCUGCCGGGCCUGCUGGCACCGGCAAGACGGAGACGGUGAAGGACCUUGCGAAGGCCGUAGCAAAGCAAUGUGUGGUGUUCAACUGCCAGGAGGGUAUGACGUACGCAUCCAUGGCCAAGUUCUUCAAGGGGCUGGCCCAGGCUGGUGCGUGGGCGUGCUUCGACGAGUUCAACCGCAUCGACGUCGAGGUGCUCUCCGUCGUGGCGCAGCAGGUGUCCUCGCUGCAGGAGGCGGCGCGCACCCGGCAGUUCCGCAUUCCUUUCGAGGGUACGGAGAUCGUGGUGGACCCAUCCUACUCCGUCUUCAUCACCAUGAACCCCGGCUACGCCGGCCGUACAGAGCUGCCGGAUAACUUGAAGGUGCUGUUCCGCCCGGUGGCGUGCAUGGUGCCGGACUACGCCAUGAUUGCCGAGAUUCGCCUGUUCUCUUUCGGCUACUCGGACUCGCGCAAGCUGGCGCAGAAGAUGGUGGCAACCUUUCGGCUGAGCUCCGAGCAGCUCUCGUCGCAGGAUCACUAUGACUUUGGCAUGCGCGCCGUCAACACGGUCAUCUCGGCGGCUGGCCUGAUGAAGCGUGAGCACCCCGAUGAAGCCGAGGACGUGUUGCUGCUGCGAGCGCUACGCGACUCGAACGCGCCAAAGUUCCUGGAGGAGGACCUGCUCUUGUUCGACGGCAUCACCUCCGACCUCUUUCCAGGCGUGGAGCUCAUUCCAGCCGGCUACGGUGACUUCCUCGCCGCACUCGAGGCGAAGGCCUCCUCGAUGCGCCUGCAGCCGACGGAGAUGUUCGUGAAAAAGUGCGUGCAGUUGUACGAGAUGAGCGUGUUGCGCCAUGGACAGAUGGCGGUGGGCCCGACGAUGGGUGGCAAGACGAGCGCCACACGCGUCCUGCAGGCGGCGAUGACGCACCUGCGAAAGGAGUUGAAGAGCACCAAGUUCGCGGAGGUCAAGACGUACUGCUUGAACCCAAAGUCGAUCAUGAUGGCCCAACUCUACGGCGGCUUUGACGAGGCGACCGGGGAGUGGCGGGACGGGAUCAUCGGCGAGGUUUUUCGCCUGGCCGCUCGCGACACAACCGACGCGCGGCAGUGGAUCAUCUUCGACGGCCCGGUCGACGCGCUUUGGAUUGAGUCGAUGAACACGGUGCUGGAUGACAACAAGAAACUGUGCCUCAUCUCCGGCGAAAUCAUCGCGAUGACGCCGUACAUGAACUGCUGGUUCGAGGUGGAGGACUUGGCGGUCGCCUCGCCGGCUACGGUCUCGCGCGCCGGUAUGAUUUACCUUGAGCCGAACACGUGCGUUGGCGUGCGCAACUUUAUCCUUAGCUGGCAACAGUACAGACUCCCCGUCACAAUGGACCCGUACAAGGAGUAUCUGCAGGAGUUGUGCGAGCAGCUCUUCCCAUCGCUCAUUCAUUUUGUGCAGACGGAGGUGACCGAGUACAGUCCGUCCACCUGGCCCAACUUGGUGGUGUCCUGCUUCAACCUAUUCGACUGCUUUAUGUCGCCCUACACCCCGACGCGCACGUACGAGGUGCCGCAGGACAAGCUAGACUUGCUGCGCGAGAUUCACCUGCAUCUCCUGAUCUUCUCCGUUGUGUGGUCCUUCGGCGCCACUGGCGACCGGCCAAGCCGACAGCGGUUUGACAAGUUCCUGCGCGACGAGCUGCGGCUGCGCAACGUCAACAUCGAGCUGCCUGUCAUUGGAUGCUUGCAAGACUACCAGUUCAUCCCGGAGGAGCGACGCUGGAUCGCGUGGGCGGAGCGGCUGCCGCCGUUUACGACACAGGUGACGCAGAGCAAUUUCUCCGAUAUCAUCGUUUUGACGGCUGACGUGGCACGGUACAAGUACGUGAACCGAAUCCUUCUGGAGCACUCGUACCACACCCUCUGCUGCGGCCCCACCGGCACGGGCAAGACCGUGCUGAUGCGGCAGCUGCUGAUGCACGAAAUGCCGAAGGAGUGCACGCCGAUCUUCUUCACCUUCUCGGCCCGCACAAGCGCGAAUCAGACACAGGACCUCAUCUUCUCCAAGUUAGAGGUGCGCAAACGCGCGUCACCCCAGGUGUGGGGUGCCCCGCUGAACCGCAAGUUUAUCAUCCUCGUUGACGACAUGAACAUGCCGCUCAAGGAGCAGUACGGCGCGCAGCCGCCGAUUGAGCUGCUUCGGCAGUUUAUGGACUACAAAGGGUGGUACGACCGCCGCACUCGCGAGUUCUUUUCGAUUGUGGACGUGGUGCUGGCCGGCACGAUGGGGCCACCCGGCGGCGGCCGCCAUUUUAUCACGCAGCGCUUCCUGCGGCACUUUCAUCAGAUUGCUUUUCCUGAAAUUGAGGACGACAGCAUGAGCCGCAUCUUUCUUUCACUGCUGGAGAGCUACUUUUCACUCUUUGCCGAGGACGUGCGUGGAAAGCUCUCCGCGGUCGUGAUGGCGUCCAUCGAGGUCUUCAACACCGCCGUCAAAGAGCUCAAGCCGACCCCUGCCCGUCCGCACUACCUGUUCAACCUCCGCGAUCUGGCGAAGGUGAUGGACGGGCUUACGAACGCGACCCCUGCGACGGUGAAGACGGUGCCGGAGCUGGUCCGACUGUGGCUACAUGAGGAGAUGCGAACCUUUCAAGACCGCCUGACGAACGACGCGGACAGGGCUUGGUUCCAGGAGCUGCUGGGGAAGCAGUUGCACAAACACCUGAAGCUGUCGAUGAACGAUGUCACGCAACGUCAUCGCGGCGACGGCUGCGCAGCCGCCGACAGCAAGAACCCGCAGACACCGGCAGCAGACAUGAACACGCUCAUGUUUGUGGACUUCAUGGGCGGCAAGUCAGAGCAGCGCAUCUAUCAAGAGGCGGCCGACUUCGACGCCGUGGUCAAGACGCUCGAGCAGCAGCUGCGGGAUUACAAUCAGCAGUGCAUCGGCGGCCGUCAGCUAGACCUGGUCAUGUUCGCCGACGCUGCGCAGCACGUGUGCCGCAUUGCGCGUGUACUGCGCAAGCCAAACGGGCAUGCGUUGCUUCUCGGCGUCGGCGGCUCUGGCCGUCAGUCGCUGUCCCGCCUUGCCGCUCACCUGAAUGAGUACGAGCUCUUCCAAGUCGAGAUCGCGAAGGGGUACACCAUGAACGCCUGGCGCGAGGACGUGAAAGCGGUGCUGCAGCGCGUCGCACUCCAAAAGAAGCAGGUGCUUUUUCUCUUCGCCGACACCCAAAUUGUGCACGAGGCCAUGCUCGAGGACGUGAACAACCUUCUCAACUCCGGUGAGGUGCCGAACCUCUUUGUUGGCCAGGAGCUGGAAGACCUACUGAACUCGAUGCGGCACGUCUGCGUGGCGGAGGGGCUGCCGGUGGAUAAGGUCACCAUCUUCGCCCGCUUUGUGCGCAGCUGCCGCAGCCAGCUCCACAUCUCUCUCUGCAUGUCUCCGCUGGGCGAGGUCUUCCGAAGCCGUCUGCGUAUGUUUCCGGCACUCGUGAACUGCUGCACUGUGGACUGGUUCUCGGCGUGGCCGCAGCAGGCGCUGAGGAGCGUGGCACGCAACUACUUCGCCAUGGUGCCGCUGCUCGCGCAGCAGGCAAAGGCAGUGGAGGCGUGCACGGAGGUGUGCGUGCGUAUCCACGUGAGUGUCGACGCCGUCUCUGUCCGCUUCCUCGCCGAGACGCAGCGGCACAACUACGUGACGCCUACGUCGUUCCUGGAGCUGCUGCACACCUUCCGCGCGCUCAUGGAGACGCAGACGGAAAAGAACCAGACCACAAAGGACCGCUUCAUCAACGGCUUGGCCAAGCUUCGCGAGACUGAGGACGCCGUAGCCGAGCUGCAGCAGACGCUGUCGCAGAGUCAGCCGGCGCUGCUGGAGAAGAAUGAGUCCAUCAGGGCCCUCGUCGCCGAGAUGGAGUUGCAGACAACUGAGGCGGAGAAGACAAAGAAGGAGGCGCAGAAGGAGCGUGAGGCAGUGGCGACGAUGCAGGCCGAGUGUGCUGCCAUCGAGGGCGCGGCGCAGGAGCAACUGGCCGAGGCGCUGCCGGAGCUGGACCGUGCUCUGGAGAGCCUCAAAAACCUCAAAUCGUCGCAGAUUACGGAGGUGGCCGGCUACAAAGCACCCACCGCCGGCGUUGUCAUGACGAUGCAGGGCAUCUGUAUUCUGUUUCAAAUCAGGCCGCAGAUGCGCGCCGCGAGCCUGAUGGAAAAGAAGCCGGACUUCUGGGCUACCGCCAAGGAGCAGCUCCUCAACAACCCGAACCUGCUGCUACAGCGGCUUAUCCAGUACGACAAGGAGAACAUACCCGAGAAGCUGAUCCAGGCAGUGAUGCCCCUCGUCACGUCCGACGAUUUCACUCCAAAGAAGAUCGCUGGCGCCAGUCAGGCCUGUGCGGCCAUGUGCCAGUGGACGCACGCCAUGGUGCGCUUUCACGAGGUGAAUAAGAAGGUGGCACCGCUGCGACAGGAGCUGGCGGUGGCGCAGCAGGCGAACCAGAAGGCCCAGCAGAAGCUGAAGGAGGCCGAGACGCAGCUCGCCGAUGUGGCGGAGCGGCUUGCCGAUAUGCAGCGCCGCAAGGAGGAGGCGGAGCGGGAGCUGGAGGAGCUGGGCCAAACGGUGAAGCGGACAGCGCUGCGGCUGGAGCGUGCGGCGAUGCUGAUAGAUGGUCUAGCAGGCGAGAAGCGCAGCUGGAUGCAGUCGCUAGAGCGCAUCGACGAGUCGGCCCAGUACCUGAUGGGCGACAUGCUGGUGGCGGCUGGCCAGAUAGCGUAUUGCGGGCCCUUCACCUCCGUGUACCGCGAGGAACUCCUCGAGUCGUGGGGCAAAGAACUCGACCAGCGCUCCAUCUUGCAUAGUGCUCAGUAUUCCAUCUACCACACGCUGCAGGACGCUGUGGAAACGCGGGAGUGGAUCUUGAAGGGGCUGCCGAUGGAUACCCUAUCGAUUGAGAACGCCCUCUUCGCGAAGAGCGCGCGCCGGUGGCCGCUUCUGAUCGACCCCCAGACGCAGGGUAACCGCUGGAUCCGGAGGACGUACAAGGACUCGCUGGAGGUGGUGCGGCCAAGCCAAAAGGACCUCGUCAAGCGCAUCGAGUACUGCAUCCGCGCAGGGCGGCCGGUGCUGCUGGAGAACAUCGGCGAGGAUAUUGACGCCAGCCUCAACCCUCUGCUAGAGCGACGCACCUUCAUGGAGGGUGGGACGGAGAUGCUUCGCAUCUCCGACACGCCGAUCCCGUGGAACCCGAAGUUCAAGUUCUUCAUGACGACGAAACUGCCGAACCCGCACUACAUCCCGGAGGUGAUGGUGCGUGUGACGCUGCUGAACUUCUUCAUCACCCCGCGCGGACUGGAGGACCAGCUUCUCGGCGUCGUGGUUGGACAGGAGCGCAGGGAGCUGGAAAUGCGGCGCAGUGACCUGAUUCAGAAGAACGCCGCGAUGAAGGCCGACCUCAUCAACACGCAGGAGAGCAUCCUGUGCAAGCUGAAGGAAGUGCAGGGCGACGUGCUCGACGACGUGGAGCUUAUUGCCUACUUGAACGAGUCGAAGGAAAAGACGCUGGAGAUCACGACGCGGGUAGCCGAGGCGGAGGCUGCCGAGGUGGAGCUGACGGCGAGCCGUGAGGAGUACCGCCCCAUCGCGCAUCACUCUUCUUGCCUUUACUUCUGCUGCUCCACCCUCUCCAACGUCGACCCCAUGUAUCAGUACUCGCUGCAAUGGUUCGUGCAGCUCUUCAUCGCGAGCAUUGAGCAGGCGAGGCGCGCCGACGACGUGGCACAGCGGCUGGAGAACUUGAAGGAGUACUUCACCUACAGCUUCUACCAGAACGUGAGCCGCUCCCUCUUUGAGAAGCACAAGCUCAUGUUCUCCGUCUACCUCUGCGUGCGACUGAUGGAUCAGCGCGGGCAGGUGGACGCCGCCGAGUUCCGGUUCUUGCUGCAGGGCCCCACGCUCGUCGCCGACGCGAAGGACAACCCUGACCCGAGCUGGAUCACACCGGCGACGUGGAACGAGUGGUGCUACCUAGACCAGAACUUCGGCCCGUUCAAGGGCCUCAAGGCGCAUCUGUGUGCCCACCUGUCGCACUACAAGGAGCUCUUCAUGUCCUCGGCCGCUCAUCGACAGCCCAUGGCCGCAGACUGGGCGGACAAGCUGACGCCAAUGCAGCACUUGAUGUUCCUGCGCUGCGUGCGGCCCGACAAGCUGAUGGAGAGGUUGCAGGACUUUGUCUUGGCGGAGAUGGGUGAAAAGUUCAUCCGGCCUCCGCCGUUUGACCUGCUCACGUCCUUCAAGGACUCCGGUCCGGCAGCGCCGCUCAUCUUUAUCCUGUCGCAAGGUGCCGACCCCUAUGACGACUGGAAGCGCUUCGCUGACGCGCAGAACAUGAGCAAGAAGCUGUACGACGUAUCGCUCGGCCAGGGGCAAGGUCCGCGCGCAGAGCGCAUGGUGCAGGAGGGGAUGGAGAACGGCUCGUGGGUUCUGCUGCAGAACUGCCACCUUGCCACGUCCUGGAUGCCGACCCUGGAACGGCUGGUCGAGGCCAUCACCCCAAACACGCAUCCCAGCUUCCGACUGUGGCUGACGUCGAUGCCAAAUGCGCAUUUUCCGGUGGCGGUGCUGCAGAACGGCGUGAAGAUGACAAAUGAGCCGCCGAAGGGGCUGCAGGCGAACGUGUCGCGCUCCAUCGGCGCCUACUCUGGUGAGUUCCUGGAGAGCUGCCAGAAGUCGGUGGAGCUGAAGAAGCUCUUCUUCUCCAUGUGCUUCUUCCACGCCUUGCUGCAGGAGCGUCGCAAGUUCGGCCCGCUCGGGUGGAAUAUCGCGUACGAGUUCACGAGCGGCGAUCUGGGCUGCUGCGCGGCGCAGAUAAAGAUGUUCCUGGAUAAGUACGCCGAGGUGCCCUACACAGUGAUCCGGGAGCUGAGCGGCAACAUCCACUACGGUGGACGUGUAACGGAUGAGUGGGAUCGCCGCACCCUCAACACACUGCUGGAGCGCUUCGUGACGCCGGAUGUCAUGGCGGACGGCUACUUGUUCUGCCCGCGGCUGGAGGAGUACCAGUCGAUCCCUGUCACGAACCGGCAGGGGUACCUGGACUACGUCGCCUCGUGGCCGCUUAACACCAACCCGGAGACGUUCGGGCUGCACGAGAAUGCCGACAUCACCUGCGCCCGCACCGAGACGUUUGAGACUUUGCAGGCGAUUGUACUUCUACAUGGCGACGAGGGCCGCCGCGGCGACGGCGUGCCAUCGUCCUCGGCAGCGGCGUCGACGCCGGAUGACAUGGUGAAGACGUUCGCGGAGGCCAUCCACCGAAAAGUCGCCGCACCCUUUGACGUUGACCAGUUCCGCCGCAAGUACCCGACCAAGUACGAAGACUCUAUGAACACGGUGUUGGUGCAGGAGGCCAUCCGCUUUAACCGACUGGUGACACUUCUGCACCAGACUCUGGAGCAGCUGCCGAUGGCGAUCCGCGGCGAGAUGGUCAUGAGCAAGGAGCUGGAGGAAGUGUACCUGGCCCUGUACAACAACCAGGUGCCUGCCCUGUGGUCCGACAAGGCAUACCCGAGCCUCAAGUCGCUGGGUGCCUGGGUGGAUGACCUGGUGCGACGCCUCGCAAUGGUGCAGAACUGGUACGCGAACGGGCACCCGAAAGCGUACUGGAUUUCCGGCUUCUUCUUCCCGCAGGCCUUCUUGACGAGCGUUCUGCAGAACUACGCGCGCACGUUGCACAUCUCCAUCGACACCAUCAGCUACGAGUUUGAAUGGAUGUCGACAGACCCGGCAUCGGUCACGACGCCGCCGGAGGUGGGGUGCUACAUCCAUGGCAUGUUUAUCGAGGGCGCACGCUUUGACCCUGCAACGCUGACGUUGGCGGAGUCGCUGCCCAAGGUGCUCUAUGAGCAGGCACCGCUGCUGUGGUUGAAGCCAGUGGUCAACCGGCUAUCCCCGGCGAGCGGCAUCUACGAGUGCCCACUGUACAAGACGGUGCGUCGCGCCGGCACGCUGAGCACAACUGGGCACUCAACGAAUUAUGUGCUGGCCGUCGAAGUUCGGACACCGCCUAAAGCGGACGCGAAGCACUGGAUUCGGCGCGGCGUGGCCCUUGUGUGUGCAUUAAGCGUGUAACCCGCGAAUGUAGCGGAACGCCCGUGCCUCCAACGGUUUAGUGUACUUCUGUCUCUCCGUGUUUCCUCGAUGGAGGUGGUGGUGGUGGGGAGUCACAUGUGUGCACGCGUACGUGUACACUCGCUGGGGGGGCACCAAAGUAAGCACAGCUUCUUUGCUCACGUUUUGCCGAGGGCGUUGUGUGUCUCCGGCCGUCUCGUGCUCCUCUCCUUCCCUGGUGAGGUCGUUUCCCCUGUUGGCUGCGCUUUUCGUUUUCCUUUGCACGCCUGGUUCUGCCGCGCGAGAUGUAACGACAAGGCCAAGACAGCGAUCAAGAGACGAGGUGAAACACAUAAAAAAAGAGGUGAGUGAUGGUGAGCGAAGACCCGACAAUGUAAACACACACACACACACCGAUAUGCGAACACACCCACGCAGUGCCUCUCUCUUUCAAAGCCUCUUUCCCUCAUGACUACCGCCACCGUCGCAACCAUGGCCACGCUAUCCUUUUCUUGUGCUGCUGCACCGUGCGUGUCUGUGGAUGUGCGCCCUUCGCGAUUGUGUUCGGCGCUGUGCUGGUCUCGUUUUAUCUCCUGCACGAAGCACAUGACCCACACCCGCUCAAUUGCAGAUCCCGACACGUCUCCCCCUCCUUCCCCUUCUGCUCUGUAUGCUUUGCGAUUAUGCUUCUUCGUGUUCUUUGUUGUUGUUGCUAUUGCUGUUCGCUCCGUGUUGUGUAUCCAAUCUCGUCGGGCUCAUGCCGCUGUGGGCAACUCGUCGCGCUUUCGUUUGCUUUUUUUUUUGGUUUCCAGGCGUACGCAUGUGCGUGUAUGCGGAUGUGUGUGUGUAUCUCUUCCAAGAAGCUUGGCCACCGCUUCCUUUCUUGUUUUCUUUUUUUUUUAGCGUCCUCCCCUCUCGUCCUGUACUAUGCGUUCCACCCUUCCUGCUCUCGUCGCCGAUUCCGGUCGACAUGAGCACGCAUACAGGCGCGUGCUCAUGCACGCACACACAGACAGACACACACCGUAAAGGGUGUUUCGGUCUCCUACUUUGUUAGAGUUGAAUGAUGUAAAGACUUUCCUGAGAGCGCUCAAGCAAGACUACAUAUAUGCGUAUAUAUGUUUAGGUUUGGGGGAGGGGGGCGAUAAGGGCCAUCGAUGUAAACUGGAAUGCACGCAUCAAAGAAGAAAAUGUGUGCUGCCCGCACAUUUCAAGCUGUCAGUGACAACGACAGGCGACCUUCUGCAUAUAGUGCAUCUCACACAAGCGUGAACACUGUCAAACAACAACAACAAAGCGAAUGAACCGCAUCGUCCGCUGAGUCGUGUAGAGUAUCUGAGUGGACACCGAGCAUAAAUACAGAUGUGCAGCCGCGCCGAUCAACACCCUUGCGCGCACGUGUGCCCAUCAGCUUCAGCUCCCCUGCGAGCAGAGCGUUCUUUUUCUCCUUGGGAACCUGUAGCGCUCCCGGCUGCACCGUCCUCAUGUCGUCGCC